rnacentral:rRNA from 1 species
CGUACGAUACGAGUUUGUCAUGGCUCAGAACGAACGCUGGCGGCAUGCCUAACACAUGCAAGUCGAACGAUCCCUUCGGGGAUAGUGGCGCACGGGUGCGUAACGCGUGGGAACCUGCCCUUAGGUUCGGAAUAACUGAGAGAAAUUUCAGCUAAUACCGGAUAAUGUCUUCGGACCAAAGAUUUAUCGCCUUUGGAUGGGCCCGCGUUGGAUUAGCUAGUUGGUGGGGUAAAGGCCUACCAAGGCGACGAUCCAUAGCUGGUCUGAGAGGAUGAUCAGCCACACUGGGACUGAGACACGGCCCAGACUCCUGCGGGAGGCAGCAGUGGGGAAUAUUGGACAAUGGGGGAAACCCUGAUCCAGCAAUGCCGCGUGAGUGAUGAAGGCCUUAGGGUUGUAAAGCUCUUUUACCAGGGAUGAUAAUGACAGUACCUGGAGAAUAAGCUCCGGCUAACUCCGUG